CCCUACGGGAGGCAGCAGUGGGGGAUAUUGCACAAUGGGGGGAACCCUGAUGCAGCGACGCCGCGUGGGUGAAGGAGUAUUUCGGUAUGUAAAGCCCUAUCGGCAGGGAAGAAGCAAGACGGUACCUGACUAAGAAGCCCCGGCUAACUACGUGCCAGCAGCCGCGGUAAUACGUAGGGGGCGAGCGUUAUCCGGAUUUACUGGGUGUAAAGGGAGCGUAGACGGCGGCGCAAGUCCGGAGUGAAAGCCCACGGCCCAACCGUGGGACUGCUCUGGGAACUGUGCGGCUUGAGUGCGGGGGGGGG
rnacentral:rRNA from 1 species